CCUACGGGCGGCUGCAGUAGGGAAUUUUCCGCAAUGGGCGAAAGCCUGACGGAGCAACGCCGCGUGAAUGAUGACGGUCUUCGGGUUGUAAAAUUCUGUUCUAGGGGAAGAAGUUCUGACGGUACCCUAGGAGAAAGCCACGGCUAACUACGUGCCAGCAGCCGCGGUAAUACGUAGGUGGCAAGCGUUGUCCGGAAUUAUUGGGCGUAAAGCGCGCGCAGGCGGUUCUUUAAGUUGGGUGUUAAAGGCAGCGGCUCAACCGCUGUUCGAACCCAAAACUGGGGAACUUGAGUGCAGGAGAGGAUAGUGGAAUUCCCGGUGUAGCGGUGGAAUGCGUAGAGAUCGGGAGGAACACCAGUGGCGAAGGCGACUGUCUGGCCUGCAACUGACGCUGAGGCGCGAAAGCGUGGGGAGCAAACAGGAUUAGAUACCCGAGUAGUC
rnacentral:rRNA from 1 species